ACUGGUGAAAUGUAGUUGCGUA
rnacentral:miRNA from 2 species